ACGCUGGCGGCAUGCUUUACACAUGCAAGUCGGACGGCAGCACAGAGAAGCUUGCUUCUUGGGUGGCGAGUGGCGAACGGGUGAGUAAUAUAUCGGAACGUACCGAGUAAUGGGGGAUAACUAAUCGAAAGAUUAGCUAAUACCGCAUAUUCUCUGAGGAGGAAAGCAGGGGACCUUCGGGCCUUGCGUUAUUCGAGCGGCCGAUAUCUGAUUAGCUAGUUGGUGGGGUAAAGGCCUACCAAGGCGACGAUCAGUAGCGGGUCUGAGAGGAUGAUCCGCCACACUGGGACUGAGACACGGCCCAGACUCCUACGGGAGGCAGCAAUGGGGAAUUUUGGACAAUGGGCGCAAGCCUGAUCCAGCCAUGCCGCGUGUCUGAAGAAGGCCUUCGGGUUGUAAAGGACUUUUGUCAGGGAAGAAAAGGCUGUUGCUAAUACCGACAGCUGAUGACGGUACCUGAAGAAUAAGCACCGGCUAACUACGUGCCAGCAGCCGCGGUAAUACGUAGGGUGCGAGCGUUAAUCGGAAUUACUGGGCGUAAAGCGAGCGCAGACGGUUACUUAAGCAGGAUGUGAAAUCCCCGGGCUCAACCUGGGAACUGCGUUCUGAACUGGGUGACUAGAGUGUGUCAGAGGGAGGUAGAAUUCCACGUGUAGCAGUGAAAUGCGUAGAGAUGUGGAGGAAUACCGAUGGCGAAGGCAGCCUCCUGGGAUAACACUGACGUUCAUGCUCGAAAGCGUGGGUAGCAAACAGGAUUAGAUACCCUGGUAGUCCACGCCCUAAACGAUGUCAAUUAGCUGUUGGGCAACUUGAUUGCUUAGUAGCGUAGCUAACGCGUGAAAUUGACCGCCUGGGGAGUACGGUCGCAAGAUUAAAACUCAAAGGAAUUGACGGGGACCCGCACAAGCGGUGGAUGAUGU
rnacentral:rRNA from 1 species